GCUCCUAUAGCUCAAUGGAUAGAGCAUCUCUCUUCUAAAGAGAAGAUGAAGGUCCGAUUCCUUCUAGGAGCA
rnacentral:tRNA from 1 species